rnacentral:misc_RNA from 1 species
AAGCCUCUCGUUUCGUUAGAGACUGCCCAUAAUUAUAUCCCCAGUUAGUUCAAACUUAAAGUAAUGCAAAAUGUAAUAACUUGUUAGCCGUCCAGCACACCAAUCAGACAUACAUAAUCAACUCUCAAAACUGUAGGAAUAUGCAAUACAAACCCAAUCAAAUAAAGAUUAACAAAAAGUGAAGCAAACAGCUAGCAAAAUCAAUUUAUGCAAAACUUUUAUGAACAUAAACAAGAACCCUCUUUUAUCAGUUUGUGAAAACUUGUAUGCAACUGCAAACCGGAAGUACGUUGUACUAACCAGCUUGGUGAAGACAGAAAAUUUGAAUCACCUUGAUAUCAUGUCUGCUAAUAUUUGCUUAAAAUAUUUUGCUUCCUGGUUCCUUUAUGUGGAGCUAUUGCUUUGGCAUUCCAUCUAUUCAUGCAAUCUUGUCUACUUUACUAACAACUAGGAAGGAUGAUAAACAAAAAAGGAUUUGUAACCCCAACAUGAAAUCAUCUAAGAAACUAAAAAGAUAUGCAAGAAACUAAAGCAAUUAAAUGCUCCAUGGACAACUUACAUUAAAAGCUUUCUGAAAGAUUAAACCAAGCAAAAGUUAGCAUCUCAAUAACAGUUAUAAUGCAAAAUAGGAAGCUUAGAAUUUUAUCUAGGAAUUUUAAUUAUUAUAAAAU